UGGCACUGUUUCUCCAAACCAUCUUACACUUCAGAUUGCGCAGUGCUGAGCCCAGAAGCUUGUCAGAAUCACAUUCCUUUGGAUUCUUUUCAAAAUCCAUCUUGGCUCCACGCUUCUUCCUUCAUCCAAGAAAAUGACUCUUUAUUGUAACCUGGCUUUGUUAAUCACGUCAGUCUUGAGUAAGUGACGCUUUCAUGGACAAUUCCAUUCCUCAAGAGCUCCUGAGUUAUUGUCUUCUGGUUCCGUUUCUACACUUGUACAGACUGAAGUGAUAUAGUCCUCUGUGGGCAAUAAAAUGGACUUUACUGUUUCAGGUUCCUCAUGAGGGAUACCAUUUUUGAGUAAGAAACUUCUAGCAUAGGGGGAACAAAUGAGUGGUUCUUACCUUUGCUUGGCCUGCUAGAUUUCUACUGACAGGGAGAUUUUAUUUGCCCACGUCUAUUUUUGUUGCAUUUGCUUUCUAUUGAUGAUAGCUGCUUUGCUGUUUUAAGUUAGCUAAAUUCAUUUGUUUAUUUGAAAAAAAAGAAAUGUUCUUGUUUUAAUUCUAGAAAAACUGGUUAGCUGAACAGCUGUUAUUUAAAUACUCAAAGUAAACAGACAGGCAGUCAAUGCAGCUAAACAGUAGUCUUACGUGAGCCGGCAUUGUGAUAUUCAGUAUUUUUUCUCAAUCCUCCCACCAAAAACUCCUGGGGUCUCUCGGACCUUCCUGUGUUGGAGACUGAAGACUGGGGAGAGAGACACAGAGAUCCAUGUUUUGUUUAUGCCUGCCAUUUCCUGCCAUUUCAAUGUGAAUGAAACACCAACCUCAUUUUUCGUCGCUCUCUCUUUCGUAGGUUCCCUUGGAAAAGCUGCAGAGAUCAAGCAGGCAAGCUCAGCUAUAGCGUUUGAUGGGGCAGCAUACAACCUCAUUUGCAACCUCUCAUCUGUUAGCACAGAAAUGAUCCAGCUCUACCAGCAGUUCCCAGGACAAGGACCUCGGUAUUUAGCGGGCGCAUAUCCAGGGGAAACUGAGGAUACUGCUAAUCCCAAGGGCAAAUUGCAUUUUGCCAAAGACAAGACGUCCUCAAC